UACGGGGGGGGUAAGCGUUGUUCGGAAUUACUGGGCGUAAAGGGCUCGUAGGCGGCCAACUAAGUCAUACGUGAAAUCCCUCAGCUUAACUGGGGAACUGCGUGUGAUACUGGAUGGCUUGGAUUUGGGAGAGGGAUGUAGAAUUCCAGGUGUAGCGGUGAAAUGCGUAGAUAUCUGGAGGAACACCGGUGGCGAAGGCGACAUCCUGGACCGGUAUUGACGCUGAGGCGCGAAAGCCAGGGGAGCAAACGGG
rnacentral:rRNA from 1 species